CAGCCGCCACGGUAAAACGGAGGGGGCUAGCGUUGUUCGGAAUUACUGGGCGUAAAGCGCACGUAGGCGGUUUUGUAAGUCAGGGGUGGAAGCCCGGAGCUCAACUCCGGAACUGCCUCUGAGACUGCAUCACUUGAACGUCGGAGAGGUGAGUGGAAUUCCGAGUGUAGAGGUGUAAUUCGUAGAUAUUCGGAAGAACACCAGUGGCGAAGGCGGCUCACUGGACGACUGUUGACGCUGAGGUGCGAAAGCGUGGGGAGCAAACAGGAUUAGAUACCCCCGUAGUCCCUGUCUCUUAUAC
rnacentral:rRNA from 1 species